CUACGGGAGGCAGCAGUGGGGAAUUUUCCGCAAUGGGCGAAAGCCUGACGGAGCAAUGCCGCGUGGAGGUGGAAGGCCUACGGGUCGUCAACUUCUUUUCUCGGAGAAGAAACAAUGACGGUAUCUGAGGAAUAAGCAUCGGCUAACUCUGUGCCAGCAGCCGCGGUAAUA
rnacentral:rRNA from 1 species